AGUGAACGCUGGCGGUAGGCCUAACACAUGCAAGUCGAACGGCAGCACAGUAAGAGCUUGCUCUUACGGGUGGCGAGUGGCGGACGGGUGAGGAAUACAUCGGAAUCUACUUUUUCGUGGGGGAUAACGUAGGGAAACUUACGCUAAUAUCGCAUACGACCUACGGGUGAAAGCAGUGGAACUUCUGACCUUGCGCGAUUGAAUGAGCGGAUGUUGGAUUGGUUAGUUGGCGGGGUAACGGCCCACCAAGGCGACGAUCCGUAGCCGGUCUGAGAGGAUGGUUUCCCACUCUAGAGCUGAUACUCGCUCCUGGCUCCUGCGUGACGCAGCAGUGGGGGAUAUUGGACAGUGGGGGGAAGCCUGGUCCAGCGAUACCGCGUGGGAUGAGACGGCCUUCGGUUUGUGAUGCCCUUUUGUUGGUAAUGAAAAGCAGCAGGUUGAUACCCCGCUGUUCUGACGGUACCCGACGAAUAAGCACCGGCUAACUUCGUG
rnacentral:rRNA from 1 species